rnacentral:piRNA from 1 species
AUAGCACGAAACGUGGAAGC